rnacentral:snRNA from 1 species
GAAUGUGAGGGCGAUCUGGCUGCGACAUCUGUCAAACCCAUUGAUCACCAGGGUUGAUUCGGCUGAUCUGGCUGGCUAGGAGGGUGUCCCCUUCCUCCUUCACCACUACAUGUGCGUCCCUCCUGAAGCUGAAGAGGAUGACCUUCCCCGAAUCGAGAAGGACUGGUUUUCGGUCAAGGGUAUAGGAGUAGCUGCACUUCUGCUAGAACCUCCAAACAAGCUCAAGAAAGUGAAAUCAUGGCAACUUCAGGAAAACAUUCAAUGGAGAUCAUUAUAUUAAGUGAAAAAGCAUUAUAUUAA